CUCAUCUCCAGUCCAUGGGCUCACUCAAGGUGAGGCCUCACCACACACACCAUGUUGCACUGCACGUGCCAUGCUUGCAGAAAUGAGAGUGCUAGGUCCAAGCUCCCAGCCAUCAGGGCAUUCGGUGGCUGGCAGGAAUUUUUCAGUGGCUGUGUUGGAAGCUGUUGUGGCAGCAGCACCGAUGCGUGCCAGUGCCCCAGGGCAGGGGCAGCGGUGCUGGCGUGGCUGUGAGCAGGGCAUGACUAACGGAGGAGGUGCCUGCCUGCUCCUGACUCAGUGGCAGCUGCCUGGGGGAUGUGGGUGACAUUGGGGAGCUGGAAGAGGCCCAGCACUGACCUCAGAGGCAAAUCUGCCCAAGCUGCUCUCGGCAGCAGAAAGGCAGAGCGAGGUUGAGGCUUUCCAGGUAACUGCUAACAAACUGGUUUUCAUGGGUAGAGGCACUUACAUUUUGCUAGCAGAAAUGAGGAAAGAAAGAGAAAGAAAAGCCUUGCUUUGCAGGCAGCACCGUGCUAGAAGCCUCACACAAAAAAGGGAGAGGAGAGCUCCAUCUCCAUUACUUACCGUGUAUGUGUAAAUUGGGGGCCGUGGAGUCUAUGCAGAGACUGCUCCCCAGGGCCCUGCCAUCCUCUUCAGCCAAUUCCAUCUGUGACCUCGGUCAGUGACAAAUACAAUUCUGGCCCUGCCUGACCUCAAUUAACUUCCCUCUGGCCAUACCACAGUUCAGGACGGUAUGAUUCAUGCUGAAGUCAGGGAGUUAUUCACUAAAAGCUAAAAAUGUUAAGACUUCUGUUAGCUUUGGGUAUGUCAAAGCCAGCCCCACACCAGCUACUUAGCCUGGCUUCUACAGAGGUAGCAUUUGCCUAAGGUGGGCUGAUUUUUAAACCUCUACAUUGGCUCUCCCUAUAUUUAGAUAAUGUGGCCCUCAAGCAGCAGAAAAUAGAGCUUGCAUUUUCUCUUCCUUUUAAAUUCAAGAGAUCUUAAUAAUAAUAAUCUGCCUGUCCUGUGUAGCUGGUGUUGUCUUGCCUUUGGCCUUGCCCUGUUUGCGUGAACAGCAUCUCUAACUGAAGAAGAUAUUGGGUGAAAGAACGUCAAGACCCCCAGCAACAAUUAAAAAAAUCAUUAAGCUACAAUAGGCCAGUCAUUGCUGGGUAAUUAUUAAGCUGUAAGAAUUGCUAAUUGUCUUAUUAGCAUUAAACAAUUAUGCAAAUAAUGGAAAACAUACCAUAAAAGUAAUAAAAUUACCUCUCUUUUUCUUUUUAAACCAAUAAUGAGAUUUAAAAUCUAAAGUGACGCUUAUGGUUUUGCUCUCCGGGGUUAAUUGGGAAUGUCUUUGGAGAUGUUUUUUGCCUCCCAAUGUCUUUGGAGCCAGACCUCUCAUGGCACUCAGCGCAGGGGGAGCAGGACAUCUUCAGCCACAUCUAUUGUGAGUCUUGUGGGGGGGUUGUAGUGCCACCACCCUAGGCUGUCCCCUGUUCUGCACCUGCCACAGGCAGCAACGUGGGGACAUGCAGGUGCUGAGGGCUUUGGGGAGCCACAUGGUGGUCACGGUGCUAGACCAGGACUGGUGAGACCUUGAAAUUUGCAUUAUCACAGGCUUCCUGCAGCAUGUCUGGCUUUGUAUCACCUGCUCUCCCCCAGGUACAAUACGUGGGGCUUCAGGUUUGGUCUGGGUGGGAUCAAGUUGGUGGGUUUUACAUCAGUUCAGAGGGAAAGUGGAAAGUCCUGGCCUUUAAAGUUACUUUAUUUUAAAUAUUUCAUCCUCACUUAUCUUGUUAGUAACCCAGGGUAAGAGCUGGCCUCUCUUCCUGGUAAGGAACCAGAUGGACUUCAGAGUUCAGCUCUAAUGGAAUGCCAAAAAAAACAGCCUUGCCUUCCAGUGAAAGGAGAAUAAAGCCUCGUUUAGCCACGCCACCACGGAAAGGAGACUUCAUUUAGUUGUGUCCCCAAGAAGCUUGGAAGAGGAAAUGGCUUCUUUGCUAAGAGCACUAACAAUGUUAAUCACUAACAAAUGUUAUUGUGUUUCCAGGCUUUAAAUUGUGCUCUGCUGAUAAGAGAGCAUUUCAAAGCAGCCCAGCCACCUCCUGCUCCGGGGCGGGUCCUGCUCCCAUGGUGAUGCCAUGAUAGAUAUGGGUCACCUCACCCAAUCUCAUGAUCCAGAGAGGUUUUGAUCAGCAAAACACACCUCUCACUUUCUCUUUCCGAUAAGAACAGUGAAGUUUGUGGCUCUUGGAGAGCAGCAUUUUGCCAGAGCUGUGCAAAGAUCAGAGAUCACCCAUAGUCCAUAUCAAUUUUCUUGGAAGAGGAGGGGAGGUCACCUUCUCACAAGCACUGUCCCCGUUCCCUCAGAGUGCUCCUUUGAGCUCUCUGAGGUUCUCUGGUGCCCCACCAAGCAGCCUUUCAUGGCCCCUUUGUUUUUCCUUCUCACCUGGUACAUAGGAUGCAGCAUGUGAGCAGUCCCCGAUCCUUGCUGCUUGGAAAUGACUUCCUGACAUUGAUCCUGCACCUCACUGUUUUGGGGACAGGCAAGCCAACAGGCCACCUUGCCAGAAGGGCAACAAGUGACAGAGACUUUGUUUUUUCUCCAUCAGUUGUUCUGUUAUACCUGGGUGGCAGGUCACGCUUUGCCCUGAUGCUCACUGUUCUCAGUCCUUUGAGGUUUUAGGGUAAUGGAUUUACCAUUUAUGACCUUGGAGGCAUGCGUUGUGGAGAGAUUUACCGAAGUGCCUCUCUGUGUAACUUCACAUUUUGCUUUCAUCUUCUUUCAGUGGAAAUUCAUGUUCAGGCUUGAAUUUUGUAAUAACUUUUUUUUUCUACUGCUUUACAGGUCAAACUAGCCAGACUCCGAGGAGAGGCGGGUAUCACGCAGAAGCAUUUCUGUGCCCCUCCCCUGAGUGACCUGAUGGCAGAGGACAGAAGGACUGCCCAUCAUUAGCCAGUUUGCUUUUCAUAAAUUCUGCAAGUUUCCUCAAUCUAACAAAAAGGUGGCGUGGAAACAAACCAGGACAGCUCAGUUUUCAGGGUUCCAGCACUGCUACGAUGGAUAUUUCCAAACUGUAAGAAAGCAAGCAUCUUUUCUGAACCACGGACACACACACACACAACUUUGAGUUAAUCCAGCAUUUCUUUUGAUUGAUCCCUUGGUAAUCUGAUUAAUUCUGAGUGCAGUUGUUUAUCCCUUCCUUCACAGAAUACAACCAGUACUUGAGCGCAAGCUCUCUGUGCCAUAUUUCCUACUUGCCACACUGUUCUGUUAUUGUUACGGUCGUGCAGCAACAUAUGCUAAGGCCUUAUUACAAGGGAUUCCUAUAAAUGGCAUAAAGGAUUAAUAAUGUAUUUAUAACACAACUUUGUUUUAGUAUAAAGUGAUCUAUAAAGUUGUAAUAAAUGUUUUAUAAUGUUUUUGUAGCCUGUUAUAAAUGAUAAAUGGGAGACUAUAGAUGCCACAUCAAAUAUUCAUGCUGCAUUGUGUGCAUUAUUAUGCCGUUACUGUUCAGGAAACCAUUAAUAAUAAAGUGAAUGGAGAUGUAAAAGUUGCUGACAUGCCCAGCAAGCCAUUUAUAAUGAAAUGUAUAAUCCUUACCAUAAAGUAAAUACAUUGGCCAGUGACUGUUGAUGAAA